rnacentral:rRNA from 1 species
UACGUAGGGGGCAAGCGUUGUCCGGAAUUAUUGGGCGUAAAGAGCGCGUAGGCGGUCCGAUAAGUCGGCUGUGAAAGUCCAGGGCUCAACCCUGGAAAGCCGGCCGAUACUGUCGGACUAGAGUCCGGAAGAGGCAAGUGGAAUUCCCGGUGUAGCGGUGAAAUGCGCAGAUAUCGGGAGGAACACCAAUUGCGAAGGCAGCUUGCUGGGACGGUACUGACGCUGAGGCGCGAAAGCCAGGGGAGCGAACGGG